AGAUUGAACGCUGGCGGCAGGCCUAACACAUGCAAGUCGAGCGGUAGAGAGGUGCUUGCAUCUCUUGAGAGCGGCGGACGGGUGAGUAAAGCCUAGGAAUCUGCCUGGUAGUGGGGGAUAACGCUCGGAAACGGACGCUAAUACCGCAUACGUCCUACGGGAGAAAGCGAGGGGACCUUUCGGGCCUUGCGCUAUCAGAUGAGCCUAGGUCGGAUUAGCUAGUUGUGAGUAUGGCUCACCGAAGCGACGAUCCGUAACUGGUCUGAGAGGAUGAUCAGUCACACUGGAACUGAGACACGGUCACGACUCCGUACGGAGCAGCAGUGGGGAAUAGUAGGACAAGUGGACGUAAAGCCGUGACU
rnacentral:rRNA from 1 species